rnacentral:rRNA from 1 species
UACGUAGGGGGCUAGCGUUGUCCGGAAUUAUUGGGCGUAAAGGGCUCGUAGGCGGCUCAGUAAGUCGGGUGUGAAACCUCCAGGCUCAACCUGGAGACGCCACUCGAUACUGCUGUGGCUAGAGUCCGGUAGGGGAGCAUGGAAUUCCUGGUGUAGCGGUGAAAUGCGCAGAUAUCAGGAGGAACACCAGCGGCGAAGGCGGUGCUCUGGGCCGGAACUGACGCUGAUGAGCGAAAGCGUGGGGAGCAAACAGG